ACGCACGCUGGCGGCGUGCUUAACACCUGCAAGUCGAACGGAAAGGCCCUGCUUGCAGGGUACUCGAGUGGCGAACGGGUGAGUAACACGUGGGUGAUCUGCCCUGCACUUCGGGAUAAGCUUGGGAAACUGGGUCUAAUACCGGAUAGGAACCAUCUUUAGUGUGGUGGUUGGAAAGUUUUUUCGGUGUAGGAUGAGCUCGCGGCCUAUCAGCUUGUUGGUGGGGUAAUGGCCUACCAAGGCGGCGACGGGUAGCCGGCCUGAGAGGGUGUACGGCCACAUUGGGACUGAGAUACGGGCCAGACUCCUGCGGGAGGCAGCAGUGGGGAAUAUUGCACAAUGGGCGCAAGCCUGAUGCAGCGACGCCGCGUGGGGGAUGAAGGCCUUCGGGUUGUAAACUCCUAUCGCUAGGGACGAAGCUUUGUUGUGACGGUACCUAGAGAAGAAGCACCGGCUAACUACGUG
rnacentral:rRNA from 1 species